GCGGAGAAGGAGAAGAAGAGAUUUAGAAAUGAAGGUAUUACAUUUUCGGAGAGGAAGAGCUUGAUGGAAAAUCAGAGGAGAGUGAUUCAAGUCUGAGCUGAUGCAUCGAUUUCGUGAUGAAAUUUCAUAUUUGACUAGGGAAAUUCAAGAAUUCACUUUGCCUUAAUUUCAUCGCCAUGGCUGCGGAGCUUUCUUUUGGAGUUCACCGACGUCUCGUGUUUACAACCUUCUUUUUUCUCAACCGUACAAAGGCAUUUUACAGUGGUUGUUAAAGAGUACAAAGGAUUUUUAUGCUGAUUUUGAGUGUUUUUUACCGCCUCAAUUUGUUAACUUACAGGAAUUCUUUAACCACUUGAUUUUACCGGUAUGCUACCAUCAAAACAAAUUAUGCGUGACAACAUGUGGAGGUAGCUUCUCUUUUUAUCAUUUUGAGAAAUCUAGAUAAGUAUGUUCUGGUCUAUUUGAUUAGUGAGAAGAUGUACUUGAAAUGUUGCCCCUGCUCUUCUUUUUGAAAAUGUAUGUCCAUGACCAUGAUGAGGGUGUGAAGAACUUAGCAUCUGUUUAUCCAAACAAAUAAUUUUAUGUAGUUCCUUUUACUGGAAUCUAUAAUGCCAUGUAAAUGUGAUUCCUCCAAAAAAAUGCUCAAUGUUUUUUGAGAAACGUAGGAUCUAAUCGAAUGUUUCUUUGUUUUGAAGAAUAUUAAGCUCUCAUGUACUCAAUGUACCUAUCAGAAAGAAAAUAUCACACAUUUUGACAAAGGAAGAGAAUCAGUUAGAGAAUGCAUUGUCUUAUUUGUCAUUGUUCAGGAGAAUACAUAACAAGAAUGGUACUCUACUUGUAGGAAAAUUUUGCUGGAUAGAUUUAAAAAAUUCUACCUAAAAUAAGAAAAUGAAGGAACUGAUUGCUUCCAUAUGUGGAAGGCAGUGUUCAUUAACAUUCUUAUAUAUUUGUAAUUUUUCUGCACUUAUAAUGGCUUGGCUUCUUCAAUUACUUGUCAAAUAUGUGUUU